rnacentral:rRNA from 1 species
UACAGAGGGGGGCAAGCGUUAUUCGGAAUUAUUGGGCGUAAAGGGCGCGUAGGCGGCCUUUCAAGUGACGGGUGAAAGCCCUCGGCUUAACCGAGGAACUGCCUGUCAGACUGGAAGGCUUGAGACCGGGGAGAGGUGAGUGGAAUUCCCAGUGUAGCGGUGAAAAUGCGUAGAUAUUGGGAGGAACACCAGUGGCGAAGGCGGCUCACUGGACCGGUACUGACGCUGAGGCGCGAAAAGCGUGGGGGAGCAAACAGG